rnacentral:rRNA from 1 species
GACGAACGCUAGCUACAGGCUUAACACAUGCAAGUCGAGGGGUAACAAGAGAAAAGCUUGCUUUUCUUGUUGACGACCGGCGCACGGGUGAGUAACGCGUAUCCAACCUGCCUAUAACUAGGGAAUAACCUUGCGAAAGUAAGACUAAUACCCUAUGAUUUCCUUUGAUGGCAUCAGAUUAGGAAUAAAGAUUUAUCGGUUAUAGAUGGGGAUGCGUCUGAUUAGCUUGUUGGCGGGGUAACGGCCCACCAAGGCAACGAUCAGUAGGGGUUCUGAGAGGAAGGUCCCCCACAUUGGAACUGAGACACGGUCCAAACUCCUACGGGAGGCAGCAGUGAGGAAUAUUGGUCAAUGGGCGGAAGCCUGAAUCAGCCAAGUAGCGUGCAGGAUGACGGCCCUAUGGGUUGUGAACUGCUUUUAUACAGGAAUAAAGUUAGCCACGUGUGGUUAUUUGUAGGUACUGUAUGAAUAAGGACCGGCUAAUUCCGUGCCAGCCGCCGCCGUAA